rnacentral:rRNA from 1 species
CCUACGGGUGGCAGCAGUGAGGAAUAUUGGUCAAUGGACGAGAGUCUGAACCAGCCAAGUAGCGUGAAGGAUGACUGCCCUCUGGGUUGUAAACUUCUUUUAUAAAGGAAUAAAACGAGGCUAGUGUGCCUUUUUGCAUGUACUUUAUGAAUAAGGAUCGGCUAACUCCGUGCCAGCAGCCGCGGUAAUACGGAGGAUCCGAGCGUUGUCCUGAUUGAUUGGGUUUAAAGGGAGCGUAGAUGGGUUGUUAAGUCAGUUGUGAAAGUUUGCGGCUCAACCGUAAAAGUGCAAUUGAUACUGGGAGUCUUGAGUACAGUUGAGGUAGGCGGAAUUCGUGGUGUAGCGGUGAAAUGCUUAGAUAUCACGAAGAACCCCGAUUGCGAAGGCAGCUUACUAAACUGUGACUGACAUUGAUGCUCGAAAGUGUGGGUAGCAAACAGGAUUAGAUACCCGUGUAGUC